CAAAAUGGAUCAUCGACUAAGUACGCAACGUCCUGUUGCAACGUCGAUGCCAGCACAUCCGUGUGCU
rnacentral:sRNA from 1 species